rnacentral:rRNA from 1 species
AUUGAACGCUGGCGGCAGGCCUAACACAUGCAAGUCGAGCGGAGCGGCGGACGGGUGAGUAAUGCCUAGGAAUCUGCCUGGUAGUGGGGGAUAACGUCAGGAAACGGGCGCUAAUCCCGCAUACUAUCUGCUUAGCCUAGGGCGGGUAUGCUGGUUGGGGGGGAAAAGGCCUACCAAGGCGACGAUCCGUAACUGGUCUGAGAGGAUGAUCAGUCAAACUGGAGCUGAGACACGGUCUAGACGCCUACGGGCGGCAGCAGGGGGGAAUAGUGAACGUUGGGCGCAAGCCUGAUGCAGCCAUGCCGCGUGGGUGAAGAAGGCCUUCGGGUUGUAAAGCACUUUCAGCGGGGAGGCGUUACCCGCAGAAGAAGCACCGGCUAACUCCGUGCCAGCAGCCGCGGUAUU